rnacentral:lncRNA from 1 species
GAAAAUUCCAUCCAGAAAAUUUUCUGGGAAGAAGCCAUGCGUGGAGAAGGUGCUGAAGAUUAAAUCCAGAAGCUCUCCCAUGCUAGGCAAGUGCUCUAACACUGAAUUACAUUCCCAUCCUUUUAAAUAGUUUUUAUUUGAAAUGAUCUAAGCUAGAAAACCUGCAAACACAGUAAAAUUCCUUUUUUUUCCUUUCAAACUAUUUGAAAGUGAGUUGCUGUCUGAUGCUCCAUCGCCCUCGAAUACGUCAGUGUUAUUUUUUACACACAAGGACCUUCUCCCACAUAACCCCAGGAUUCCAGCAAAAUCAAGAAAGUCACAUGAAUACCGUCUGACCCUCAGACCCCUUCAUGUUUCACCUGUUGUCCCUGUCGAGUCCAGUACAGCAAAGGAUCCAGUUUAGCCUUCAGCUGCCAUCACUUUGAUGUCCCUUCCUUGGAAGACUCCCUUAGUCAUUCUUGGUCUUCGGGAACCUUUUGAAAAUGACAGGGCAGUCAUGUAGAGUGCCCCUCAAUUUGGAGAUGACUGAUGCUUCUUCAUAAUUAGAUUCAGGUUAUGUAUCUUUAGUUUUGGUUUUGCAGUACUGAGGAUUGAACCCAGCGCCUUCAAACUGUGCUACAUCCCUAGUCCUUUUUAAAAAAUAUAUUUUUAUUUUGAGGCAGGGUCUUGCUAAGUCACUCAUUUGCCCAGGCUGGGCUCCAAAUUGUAAUCCUCAUGCCUCAGCUCUCAGAGUGCUGGAAUUACAGGUGUGUGCCGUCAUGCCUGGCUUUAAUGUUUUUGAACAUUAUGUUACCCAGGCUAUGCAGGCUAUGUAUCUUUGUCAUAGAUGUUGCAGAAGUGAUCAGUUUGUCCUGCUAGCGGUGACAUUUCCUGUGAUCACCUGAUGAAAGCGAGUUUACCAGACUUCUCCACCAGAAAGUUGCUCUUCUUCCUUUUGUAAUUAAUGAGUAGUUUGUGCAAAAGCAUUGAGGGCAUGCAGAAAUCCUGUUAUCACAUUCUCACCUUAUUUAUUUAUAUCAGUAUGGAUUCAUGGUCCUCUAUUUUACUCUGAGUUACAUCUGUUAUUUUUAUUUAAAAAUUGUCAUAUUAUUUUUAGUAUAUAAGUUAGGAUAAAGAUGAAGAAUGAAGUAAGACAAGAAGAAAACACAUAGAGUCAUACAAAUAAUUGUACAUGGUACUGUGUGUAAGUGAGUGUGCCCAGCACAGGAACAGUGGAAUUCUCAGGAGUUUAGACUCAUACAUGUGUCUUUACAACAUUACCUGAAGAAGUCCACCUGGAAUUUCCAGGUGAGCACCCCUUCCUGGGGGAAUAAGGGAAUCACUGUGAUAACAAAGCUUCAGAUGCUAACUGUGCAUCAGGUACUGCUGUAAGUGAUUUACAGAUAUUAGCUUACCCACCUUUUGCAGUUGAGGAAACUGAGGCACAGAGGGAC